rnacentral:rRNA from 1 species
GCAGUAGCCGCGGGAAUACGAAGGGGGCUAGCGUUGCUCGGAAUGACUGGGCGUAAAGGGCGCGUAGGCGGCGGCCAAAGUCAGGCGUGAAAUUCCUGGGCUCAACCUGGGGGCUGCGCUUGAUACUUGGUUGCUUGAGUGGGGAAGAGGGUCGUGGAAUUCCCAGUGUAGAGGUGAAAUUCGUAGAUAUUGGGAAGAACACCGGUGGCGAAGGCGGCGACCUGGUCCUUGACUGACGCUGAGGCGCGAAAGCGUGGGGAGCAAACAGGAUUAGAUACCCGGGUAGUCCCUGUCUCUUAUAC